CCUACGGGGGGCUGCAGUGGGGAAUAUUGGACAAUGGGGGGAACCCUGAUCCAGCCAUGCCGCGUGUGUGAAGAAGGCCCUCGGGUUGUAAAGCACUUUCAGUGAGGAAGAACGCCUGGUGGUUAAUACCCAUCAGGAAAGACAUCACUCACAGAAGAAGCACCGGCUAACUCCGUGCCAGCAGCCGCGGUAAUACGGAGGGUGCGAGCGUUAAUCGGAAUUACUGGGCGUAAAGCGCGCGUAGGUGGCUUGAUAAGCCGGUUGUGAAAGCCCCGGGCUCAACCUGGGAACGGCAUCCGGAACUGUCAAGCUAGAGUGCAGGAGAGGAAGGUAGAAUUCCCGGUGUAGCGGUGAAAUGCGUAGAGAUCGGGAGGAAUACCAGUGGCGAAGGCGGCCUUCUGGACUGACACUGACACUGAGGUGCGAAAGCGUGGGUAGCAAACAGGAUUAGAUACCCGGGUAGUC
rnacentral:rRNA from 1 species